AACGAACGCUGGCGGCAGGCCUAACACAUGCAAGUCGAACGCCCUAGCAAUAGGGAGUGGCAGACGGGUGAGUAACGCGUGGGAACCUUCCCUAUAGUACGGAAUAUACCAGGGAAACUUGGAGCAAUACCGUAUACGCCCGCAAGGGGAAAGAUUUAUCGCUAUAGGCUGGGCCCGCGUAGGAUUAGCUAGUUGGUGAGGUAAUGGCUCACCAAGGCGACGAUCCUUAGCUGGUCUGAGAGGAUGAUCAGCCACACUGGGACUGAGACACGGCCCAGACUCCUACGGGAGGCAGCAGUGGGGAAUAUUGGGCAAUGGGCGCAAGCCUGACCCAGCCAUGCCGCGUGAGUGACGACGGCCUUAGGGUUGUAAAGCUCUUUUGGCGGGGACGAUAAUGACGGUACCCGCAGAAUAAGCCCCGGCUAACUUCGUGCCAGCAGCCGCCGUAAAAC
rnacentral:rRNA from 1 species